rnacentral:rRNA from 1 species
ACGCUCGACAUCUACGGGAGUCAGCAGUUGGGAAUAUUGGACAAUGGAGGAAACUCUGAUCCAGUGACGCCGCGUGAAGGAAGAAGGUCUUCGGAUUGUAAACUUAUUUUGUCAGGGAAGAAAAAAUGACUGUACCUGAAGAAAAAGCACCGGCUAACUACGUGCUAGCAGCCGCGGUAAUCUGAGGCGGGCGUGGACGAAGGC